rnacentral:rRNA from 1 species
CCUACGGGAGGCAGCAGUAGGGAAUCUUCCACAAUGGGCGAAAGCCUGAUGGAGCAACGCCGCGUGGGUGAAGAAGGUCUUAGGAUCGUACAACCCUGUUGUUAGCGAAGCAAGUGCGUGAGCGUAACUGUUCACGUUUCGACGGUAUCUAACCAGACAGCCACGGCUAACUACGUGCCAGCAGCAGCGGUACUACGGAGGUUGCAAGCGUUAUCCGGAUGGAUUGGGCGUAAAGGGAACGCAGGCGGUCUUUUAAGUCUGAUGUGAAAGCCUUCGGCUUAACCGGAGUAGGGCAUUGGAAACUGGGAGACUUGAGUGCAGAAGAGGAGAGUGGAACUCCAUGUGUAGCGGUGAAAUGCGUAGAUAUAUGGAAGAACACCAGUGGCGAAAGCGGCUCUCUGGUCUGUAACUGACGCGGAGGUUCGAAAGCGUGGGUAGCAAACAGGAUGAGAUACCCUGGUAGUC